GGGUGAGUCUUAGUGCUUGUACCGGUGUUAAGUCUGCUGCAAUUUCUUUGCUAGUUUGCCCUUGGUAACUUCGAACCUGAUUGAAGUUCGAUUGGCAGUGACAGUAAUUUUGACCAAUAGGAGUUGCCAAACUCAACAAUGAUGUGGGGUGGAACUCAUACUGUGGAAAGAGAUGGGAUAUUGUUCAAUAAGAUUAAAUAGACAUCAAGAGACUGACAUUCAUGUCAUCAUCUUACAAUGGGCAGAAUAACACAAUUAAUAGUUAGUAGAGUCGUAGUUGAAGUAUGCGAGCGAGUGGAUCAAAUUAGUAUUAACAGGUAGACUUGUAAAUCUCUUCAUUUUAUGUCUUGAAGUUUAAUCCCAUUUAAUGGAUUUUGACAAUCACAAAGAUACUUGUCUAACUACCUCUGUACUUUGUAUCUGAAUUGGACAGAAAAAUGCAUGAUGGUUGUAUCCUGUGAAAGGCUGCAUGUUAUUUGUAUUGUUGUGGUUAAGGUUCAAAGAGAUCUCUCAUGGAAAUUUUCAAUUUAUGCCAAAAUUGGGGGCUUUAGACAUCACUUAUUGCUAAUCAAUACAGGGAUGCCGAACAUGCCAUUCCUCUAUGCCAUGGACUUCAUCAAUGUAUUAAAGAAAAAACAUGCAGCAAAGGGCUACAAAGAGAUGGUAUAGGUUUCAUUUUUGAAAUCAGCUUUUUACCAUACCAUUGUUUUUGCUUUUAAUUAUCUGAUGAGGCUCAAUAUCACUGGCAUGCGCAGAUUAUAUAUGUGGAAGCAUGCGAGAGUGGGAGCGUCUUUGAAGGGAUAAUGCCAAAAGAUUUAGAUAUCUAUGUGACAACAGCAUCAAAUGCUCAGGAGAGCAGCUUUGGAACUUACUGUCCUGGGAUGGAACCUCCGCCUCCUCCAGAGUACAUC
rnacentral:lncRNA from 1 species